rnacentral:rRNA from 1 species
AUGUGUGGUGUGUGGCUCAGUCUCCCCGUCCUUUUUCUUCCUUCUUCCAGAAUUAGAUCUAGGUUCCUCCCUCUUCUCUUUGUUGUUUUCUUCCCUGUUCCUGUGUGUUCCAUGGAGGAUUGUUCAUGCGGAUGCCUGGCAAAGAUGGCGCGCAUAGCUGACGGCUGUGUGUACGAAUCUGGUUUGGAGCUCACCCAAACUCAGUGCCGUGGGCAACUUUCUUGUCUGCUGUACAGCAACCAUGGGUUUCGUGCGCCAUAUGUUUGUCGCCUGACGGUUGGUGACUUGAAGGAAUCAUGGGUAUGUGUUUCUAUUCCUUUUGUUUUCUACUUUUUUGUAGGUCUCUUUUUGAAUCCCAUGAACUGGAUCUGUAGUUUAGUGUUAUGA